rnacentral:rRNA from 1 species
AACGAACGUUGGCGGCGUGGAUUAGGCAUGCAAGUCGAACGCGAAGUAGACUUCGGUCUGCGAGUAGAGUGGCGAACGGGUGAGUAACGCGUGAGCAAUUUGCCCUGGAGUGGGGAAUAACUAUCCUAACGGAUAGCUAAUUCCGCAUGGUCUCGGACCUUCGCAUGGGGGACCGAGUAAAGGUGGGGAUCUUCGGACCUGCCGCUCCAGGAGGAGCUCGCGUCCCAUUAGCUUGUUGGCGGGGUAACGGCCCACCAAGGCGACGAUGGGUAGCCGAUCUGAGAGGAUGACCGGCCACACUGGGACUGAGAUACGGCCCAGACUCCUACGGGAGGCAGCAGUCGAGAGGCUUCGGCAAUGGGGGAAACCCUGACCGAGCGACGCCGCGUGCGGGAUGAAGGCCCUCGGGUUGUAAACCGCUGUCAGGAGGGAAAAAUUCCCAUUGGUUAAUAGCCUGUGGGUUGACGGUACCUCCAGAGGAAGCUCCGGCUAACUCCGUGCCAGCAGCCGCGGUAA